UGGGGAAUAUUGGACAAUGGGCGAAAGCCUGAUCCAGCCAUGCCGCGUGUGUGAAGAAGGUCUUCGGAUUGUAAAGCACUUUAAGUUGGGAGGAAGGGCAGUAAGUUAAUACCUUGCUGUUUUGACGUUACCGACAGAAUAAGCACCGGCUAACUCUGUGCCAC
rnacentral:rRNA from 1 species